CACUUCAGCGCACAACUACACCUACAAUAAUGGUAGUACGAGCACAAUUGUCCAGUCAAUACAGAGCGUGCUCGUUCAAGGCAAGAAGGCAGCACACGGCCACGCACGCAGCGCCGACCAGCGAACCCCUCACACCUCUGCUCCCCGAGCUAGUGCGCGCCGACGACGACAUCGGAGUGCCACCGUCGCCGCCGCCUCGGCAGGCGCCGAUGCCCCGCAGGGCGCUCCGGUCGUCCAGGCACAGCCCGGAGUUGCCGCUCAGGUCGAGGUUCCCGCCGAGCCGGCGCAGGAACGCGCGGUCGAACGGCACGGCCCCGCCGAGCGCGUUGUUGCUGAGGUUCAGGUGGUACAUCCUGCCCAGCCGGCUGAGCGCCGCGGGGAUGGGUCCCGUCAGGUUGUUGUCCUGCAGCGAGAGCGUCGUCAGGCUCGCCAGCUGGCCGAACGCGUCCGGUAUCGGGCCCGAGUAGCCGGAGCCGGCCAGGCGGAGCUCCUGCAGGCGGGCGAGGCUGCCGAGCUCAGAAGGCAGCGGGACGCCCAUGGGGUUGCUGUCCAUGAUGAGGUACUGGAGGCUCCGCAGCCCGGAGAUGCCCGGAGGAAAACGGCCGGUGAGGCCGUUGUUGCUGAGCGCCAGGAAGGUGAGCGACGUGAGGUUGGCGACGGCGUCCGGGAUGCCGGCGGUGAGGUUGUUGGAGCUGAGGUCCAGCUUCUGCAGCUGGCGCAGCUCGCCGAGGCGGCUCGGGAUGGCGCCGGAGAGCGAGUUGUAGCUGAGGUC
rnacentral:misc_RNA from 1 species